GCCGCACGCCGCCGCCGCCACCGCAAAUCCCCAGGGACGCCGCACGCCGCCGCCGCCGCGAAUCCCCAGGGACGCCGCACGCCACCGCCGUCGUGAAUCACCAGAGACGCUGCUCGCCGCCGCCGCGAAUCCCCAGGGAUGUCGCUGCCACCGCCGCGGAUCCCCAAGGGCGUGGUCGCGUUGCCCUGAUUGGAGGAGACCCUGUCGGCCUUGCCUUGUUUGGAGGACUGUGUGCGUCAAUCCCGACCUCCGCUUUCCCCCUUUUCCAUCAAGGACCGUCGCCGCUGCUUCGUCUUCUAUCUCUGCGGGUCCCCAUCGGCACCUGCUGGAUGGUGCUCCGGGAACAGGGCCGCACAGAGGCCCUCCUCCCGUAGGUUGUGCAGACGCGGCGCGCCUUCCAGCGGCUAUUCGGGAUGAGCGCGGGCGCGACAACCUUGUCCCAGUCGACGAUGGCGGCGGCGAACGCCGGUGCUCCUUCUCGUCCUCUACCUCCAAGGACGCGCACCGGUAUAGCUCAAACACCCCCGUCCCCAAAUCCCGUCCACCCAUCCGGCGUUGUCCAGCUCAUCCUCUUGCUCGUGGAUUCGCCUCCUCCUGUACGCGACACUUAAAACAUGGACGUGUUUGUAUUCAGUCUGUAUGCGUCUGGAUGUGAAUGGCACUUGCAGUAUGUGGCUGCUCCUUGGUUGUCCAUUUGUAUGCGUCCAUAGUCUGAAGCAGAACCUCCAUCUUCUAUCUCAACGUCGGCGGCCCGACGGCGCCGACUCCUUAUCGACGCCCGUCGGCGGCCCGGUGAUGCGACCAGAUCACUGCAAAUUGCUCCAUUUGUGUCAGCAGCCUAAUCAGGUGGAGGUGGUCGUGCUGGCGCCACUGUUUUGCUUCAUGCUGAUGCGGUAUAAAAGUGCCUCCUCGGCAGAUGAGGACCUGAGCGUGGCCAUGCUAAUGAGGAUGCAGGAUCCACCGCCACCGGCCAGUCCGAGUGAUUGCAGAGAACUUGGCAGGCAGAUCAAUUACGAGGAGGUCAAGGCUGAGCUGGAGUGGGGUGGGCGCCAACAUGAAGGAGCUGGAGAUAUCUCUAUUUUUGUCAGUCAUUAUUCAGGCUCUAAGCUUCCCCUUUCCCUAUACCACAUUACUUGAUAUUAUUAAAUUCAGUACGCUUACUCAACUGUGAACAAGUUCAUGUGGUAAGUAGGAUCAACAAGAGUUGGCCGGCAACUGCUAUGUAUAUGUUAUUAUGGAUCAGCCAAGGUGGUUAAAUUUUAUUUUUUUUCCUUUUUCUUAAUUUAUGCCCUUAAGUUUAUGCUGUUAAAUGCAUACACAUAACUUAGUUCCAGAUUUAACAAGAGUACAUUUUACAAUGAACUUCAUAGCUGAUGUUGAUCAUAAUUAGUAAGUGUACAAAGCAUUUCAAGGAAUUUCUGUUUUGUGCAUAUUGUAUAUUGCAGACUUGCAGUGAAGCAGUGCCAUCUAAGUACCAGAUGUAUGUUAUUUUCAAAUAAGCUUUUCUUAAAAUGGAAAAUACUAAAAAGCAAAUUGUGCCACGCCGUGCAAUUAAGGUGCCUUUUACUGGAAACUCAAUGCAACUUCUUGUUAUUUUCAAAUAAGCUUUUCUUAAAAUGGAAAAUACUAAAAGGCAGAUUGUGCCACACCGUGCAAUUAAGGUGCCUUUUACUGGAAACUCAAUGCAACUUCUUGUUAUUCCUUCUGAACCUAGCAAUUAAGCCAUAUCUUGUUUUCACUCCUUCUGAACCUAGCAAAAUGACCUGCUUGGACCGAACGAGGACAGGUGUCUGGUGGUGGACAUAAGAUGCACGGCGAACAUUGAGCUACAGAAGAACAUUAUGAAAGAGGUUGGAGAGGCUGGAGGAGACCAUAUACCAACACAAAGCGCAUCUUGAUGGCCAUCAAUGAGGAGCUGGACCUGCUACACCAGGCUAAUUGCAAGCAUUGGGAUGAUUUGGACGAGAUGACUGAUGAGGACAUGAGCGUUGUCGGAUGAUUUGGACGAGAGGACUGUAGCACGACGCAAUGAAGAGCCAGAUCGUCCGUCCGCUCCCAGCUCACUUCCCAGUUCUGUUGUGCUGCCCCGUGCACCAACCAUCCAGUAAAGGUUCUGAGGAAGAAAUUACUAGAGAGAAGAAAACUCAGUUUUACAAGUAGUGACAGUCCAACAUCAUAUUGACACAUCUGGUUUCUCUUUCCACAAGCAGGGUCGAGUGGGGUGAUAUACUAGGCGCUUUCUUCUAAAUUUUGAAAAUAAAUGCUGGCAAAGAUAUUAAAAUUCAAAUCUGGCUUAUUUUUCUCAAUAUGGGUUCAGAAGGAAAUUGUCGUUGAGCUUCUAUCUAAAGUAGGCACUUUUUCAUUAGAUUUCAGCAGCGGCUGAUGGCAGCAACCUCAUGGGCCACACAUCCCCUUCUUUAAUUGCAUGCCCUCACAAAAUGGAUGGGGACUUGGUUCUUUGGUUGUCGCCGCCGGACUCAGUGAAGGACGAAAAAUUGAGAUGAUCUAGUGGAGAAUAGAUGCCACGGGCUGAAGAAAGGAGGCGACGGUUUCAGAGCACACACCUUGAAGCGGAGAGGCGGCAAGGGAGUGCGUCUGGAUGGCAGAGGGAGCGGGACAAGGCAACAUCACAUGGGAGGCAUGGUCAAAAUCGGCGCCGUAGGAGCAAUCGUGCGCGUGGGGGUCGUACCAGGGAGAAGGAAAAGGAUGGUCGGUUUUCUAGGGCUUUUUUCCUUGCAUCGGGAAAUGGGUUUGGUUGAAAAAAACGAUGAUGUGGGGAGGUUAUGCGAGUGGUGGAUACGUGGGUACCAUUUAAUGUACCAACCGCGCUUUAAUAGUAGAGAUUAAGAUGUUGAUAUUUUAUUCAUUUUCUUCUUAGCUGAACAUUCUUUAAACCAAAAAUCUAUGAAACUUGUAAUGUA